rnacentral:rRNA from 1 species
AUUGAACGCUGGCGGCAUGCCUUACACAUGCAAGUCGAACGGUAACGCGGGGCAACCUGGCGACGAGUGGCGAACGGGUGAGUAAUGUAUCGGAACGUGCCCAGUUGUGGGGGAUAACUGCUCGAAAGAGCAGCUAAUACCGCAUACGACCUGAGGGUGAAAGCGGGGGAUCGCAAGACCUCGCGCAAUUGGAGCGGCCGAUAUCAGAUUAGGUAGUUGGUGGGGUAAAGGCUCACCAAGCCAACGAUCUGUAGCUGGUCUGAGAGGACGACCAGCCACACUGGGACUGAGACACGGCCCAGACUCCUACGGGAGGCAGCAGUGGGGAAUUUUGGACAAUGGACGCAAGUCUGAUCCAGCCAUGCCGCGUGCGGGAAGAAGGCCUUCGGGUUGUAAAGGACUUUUGUCAGGGAGGAAAUCCCUAGUGCUAAUAACACUGGGGGAUGACAGUGCCUGAAGAAUAAGCACCGGCUAACUACGUGCCAGCAGCCGCAGUAAAAC